rnacentral:rRNA from 1 species
UACAGAGGUCUCAAGCGUUGUUCGGAUUCAUUGGGCGUAAAGGGUGCGUAGGCGGCGCGGUAAGUCGGGUGUGAAAUCUCGGGGCUUAACUCCGAAACUGCAUUCGAUACUGCCGUGCUUGAGGACUGGAGAGGAGACUGGAAUUUACGGUGUAGCGGUGAAAUGCGCAGAUAUCAGGAGGAACACCGAUGGCGAAGGCAGGUCUCUGGGCCACUACUGACGCUGAGAAGCGAAAGCAUGGGGAGCGAACAGG